AACAACAGUAACAACGGCGGACUUCCAUGCUUGGCUUGUGCUGCUGAGUCUACUGAAUGUAUUGAAUCUCCUUCAGCAAAGCAUGUAUUUGUUUCGCCAUUACUGCUUAUCAACGAAGAUGCUUUCGAUAUAUACCCACCUCUAUAUCUGCGGCUGUACUUCUUCUGGUCUGUGGAGGAAAGGGUAGUGGUCACGUGGGGUGCGCCUCUACAAAGUUACAUCACCGACCAAAAGCUUGGCGUGGAUACGACAGCGUUUUCAGUCCUUCCAGCGUUCCAAUGUAACGCUGGAAGGAACGCAGAUUUUUUUGACUCCAUUGUCUGGAAAACCCAACAAGUGGAGGCUCCUGCAGUAUGGACAGAUGCCUGACCGGAUUGAGAUGGAUGCUCCUGUCCACUGGGACUCAUGAAACAAAGCAGCAGGAGGAAGUGGGAUGGCAACAGAAGUCUGAGGGAAAGUUCAAAUACCACGAGGGAAAUGAAUGUGUAAUGUGCUACAUGUGUGCUCUGCUAUAGUGAUAAGCAUACACACACAAACAUGCAUAAACACACAGACUGAGGGGCUUCCAAAGUAGCUGAAAGAUGUACUGUUUUCUUUACAGUGUUUUCCAGUAACCAUUAAUCUCCUGCUGUCUCACAUAAUUAAUGCAUCCUUCUUUCAGAGGCCUUUUAUGCGCUGUGUUUUCCCAUUCAAAUGUAUGACUAAACUGGUCACUAUUAUUUGCACAACAGUUGCUAGUCUGAUUGUACAAAUAAAUUAAAUAGCAAUUUAGAAUUUAUUCAAGUAGAACUGAGGAAUCUGUCACAUGCUGAAGUUUUAUCGAAAACAAUAAACGCCUUAUUCUUAAUGGCUUAACUAAAGCCUUUAUAGAACUGCGAAUAAACAAUACUCAGCAUUUUUUAUUGGAUUAACAACCAAAUAAAACAGGAUAAACACCUGCCAAUCAGUUCACAGGAACUGGCCUCAACAGAGUGGGCAAAGAUCUCUGGAAGUCUUUAUGUCGUCACUGAGGCUAAGCUACCAGUCAGCAAAACCCUCCAAAUAAUAAGAUCACUACUUAAUAAAAUCCAGUGUCGUGUUUUGUACUUGUACACAUCAAUAUGAAAGAUGCAUGUGGAACUUCAUCGUGGCUGGAAGGUAAGGUCAAGAAAUGUAAUGUAUUUUUAAAUAAGUGAGACUUUGGUGAAUUUUUUUCAAAUGAAUUGCCUGUGUUUGUUGUCUUACAAGCAAAUAAUGUAAGCCGAAAAAGCAUGUUCAGGUUAUAGCAUAAUCAGGAAGGACAUUUAUGUGGUUAUGAGUCAGGGUAGUUCGCCUAAGAUUUUGCUCAGAGUUCUGCAAAAUAUUUUGGCUGAAUUUUGAAAUGUCAAUCCAUGUUGCGUAAUGAUUAAAUGGCUUCAGAAGAGAGAAGGGUGGUGCCGGGGCUGAAGAAAUUACCUGAAGGCGUGUAGAUAUGGAAGUAUUCCUAUUUCCCACUUACUAAAAUUUCUGUAAUAAAGUAUUUCAAAGGCUGUAUUUUAA